GGAUCAAUACACAGGCUCGGGCCUGUUCUUUGCAAGCUAGUCGAUCCCAAACUCCGUGUCAAGAUUGUGAAAUUGGUCAAAUCCAAAUUCCGGUUCAACCUUUUCAACCCAUUAUGCUCUAGGAUACAAUCGAUCUCCAGGUCUACUCAAUUAACAGCAAGAAGGAAAGGGGGAAGAGUAUAAAUGUCCAAUGAAGGAAGGCCACCUAUAUGGGGCAAUGCACUUCCAGUAAAUCAUCACAGAUAGAAGGUUUCCUAGGGAAAAAGAGAAACAACAUAGAGCAACAGGCAAACAAUAAGAAGACAUCAAAAAUGGAUAAAGGGGGAAAAGGAGCAGUUACAAGAGGACAGGCGACUAGGUUUGGCUUUAAAAGACCACCUCUUUGUCCAAGCCCAUCUUUACCACCAACAGCCCCUCCAGCACUUCCUUCAGUUCCUGCAGCACAAGUUACUAGAGAAACAAUUGAGCCAAUUAAAUUGACAUCUGUUCAACUAAGAAAUGGUACGCCUAAGCUCGGAAGGAGUAAAAAAGACACAGGCAAAGCUGCUAACAGGUUUGGCUUCGUCCCUCCACCUUCGCUCUCAAAUAAAGUGUCUGAUCUCAAGCAAGAAGGCCAGUCAGGGCAUGCUAAAAACACUAUCUCCUCUUCUGCACUCAAAUUAAGUGCAAGGAGUCGUUCAGAAACAAGAUACAAUAAACCAAGCCAAAAAAAUAAUUCAAGCAACUUGAGCAACUGUAAUAGUGUAGCAAAUUCAAACACCAGUAUCAAUUCUGAUAUAGGAAGGGGACCUUCAGAUAGUCAAGCAAGCUAUAAGCAUCAGGCAACUGCAAGGAUACCAACAUCAGCCAAUUAUAGUUCUUCCUAUGGAUCCACUGCUGCUGAUAAAAGGGCAAAAACAGUUGCAAACAACCAGACUGCGCGUACCUCGCAGAUAAAUGACCAAAAGGUGAACAGGAAUAACUCAGUGCUGGAAAUUCAACAGCUAGAACACAGUCCAAGUCUUGGACAUAAAUUCAGACAUGCCCAUACAAAACCAGCGACAAAUAACCAGAAAGCCAGACCAAUGGAGAUGGUAUUCAAUCCAGCACCUGGGAAAAGGUUUGACUUAAGGGACCUUAUUCCCAUUCAGACAGUGGACAGAAAUGAGAGGGUUGAGGCAGAAGCCAGUCCGCCUCAAGGGACUAGACACGAAGGUCAACAUUCCCUUAUUGCCGAGAGGAUAAGACGUGAAGUAGUUCUUACACCACCCACCCUUGAAACUAACGAAGACGACAAACAAGGCGAAGAGAAACAAAGAAGGGAUAAAAAAGCAAGUGAGAAGAUUCAUCAGAGUAGUGGAGAGGAGAGCACGGGCGAGGAGGAACUUUGGGCAGGGCCUGGAGAAGCCAUGGCAAUGGAUGAGUCUAUGGUUUGUUCUGCUAUAUCUGAACUUGAUCACUCACCUGAAACAAUGAAUCAACCAUUGAGAUCUGUUCUUCUAAGGAUAGAAGACCCAACAUUUGCUACACUAGCAGCAUUCUCAAAUUCAGGAAUGCUGGAAGAUGAAACCUCUCCAGAAUCCCCUGAUAUAAGCUGCAGUUCCCCAAGUUCAGUCGAACCUCUUCCUCCUCCACCCCAAAACCUCAGUAAACCAGGCACCCCAGAUACACCUGGCAGUCCAACUCAUGGGACAAAUUCUUUAAGUUCUGAUACCAAAGAGAGAGAUUUUCUCAUUGAUGAUGAAAUUGCUGACCAGCCUGGAUUGGUCUUUGACUCUGCUAUCAGGGAGGAACCAUCAAUCCUUGAUACGUCAAGAACAAUUGCAAAAAUAGCAGGAGAAGUUUCACAAGUUUUAGCAUCAGUGGAUCAGAAUGGAGGAUUGGAUCAUUUGAACAGGCUAAACAAGCAGCACGGAAGCACAAAUUCUGUCGGGACUCUUUCACCUUGUGAAAGCCUUGCAAGUGAUGAUUUGAUGGCUGAUUUCGAUAAAAGUGAUGUCUCAGCAUUUGACGACGUAAAUCAUUCGAGUGAAUCACCGUUAAAAUCAGAAAUUCUGAAUAGAAGUGAUCAAGUUAUUAAGGAAUGGAAUGCAUUGCUACACUCUCAUCCAGGGCUUAAUGGAAUACGUACUUCCUCAAAGCCCACCAAAACAAGGCUACGUAGUUCCGCGAGUGGAACUGGGGAGGUGAAGCCGAAAUCAAAUGUGUCGAGUCCACAUAAGACCAAACAACAGCAGGUUGUUCGCCUAGCCGGUGAUGAUGCAUCAGAUGAUUCUGGAAUAAAAGUAAACGGCUUUUCUGUUCAACACCUAGCGCAAGAUGUCUCUUACAUCAAAUCAAUGCUUCUCAGACUCCAAAGGGUGCUCCAAGAGCCUGAAAAUCAAGGACUUUAUGAAAAUGGCUUAAUGGAAAUCUUGGAAAGCCCUCAGGGAGGAAUUCCUUCAGUACAGCCAGCAGCUGGAACUGGAGGAGAAGGACAGGCAGAUGCUGAAGCUGAAGGAGGAGCUCAAAAUCUCAAAUGACCGGAUGUCCAAAUUCAACAUGAAUCAGGAGAAAGUCAAAUACUCGAACAUGGCCACUCAAACAGACAGGAUACGUCCAGCUUCGACAACCUUGUUCCAAAAUUCGCCUGACAGUGCUAAAGCAUCAUUUGUAAG
rnacentral:misc_RNA from 1 species